rfam:Gossypium hirsutum cultivar TM-1 chromosome 2, whole genome shotgun sequence
AAUCUGUGGUGUGGGCAUUUUUGAAUAAACAUUUUAGAACUCUCUCAUGCUUCAUGAAAACUUUCCCCCUCUAACUGUUUGAACAUCAAAAUUUCUCUUCUUAGCU